CGUAGGGUGCAAGCGUUAAUCGGAAUUACUGGGCGUAAAGCGUGCGCAGGCGGUUAUGCAAGACAGAUGUGAAAUCCCCGGGCUCAACCUGGGAACUGCAUUUGUGACUGCACGGCUAGAGUACGGUAGAGGGGGAUGGAAUUCCGCGUGUAGCAGUGAAAUGCGUAGAUAUGCGGAGGAACACCGAUGGCGAAGGCAAUCCCCUGGACCUGUACUGACGCUCAUGCACGAAAGCGUGGGGAGCAAACAGGAUUAGAUACCCUGGUAGUCCACGCCCUAAACGAUGUCAACUGGUUGUUGGGAGGGUUUCUUCUCAGUAACGUAGCUAACGCGUGAAGUUGACCGCCUGGGGAGUACGGCCGCAAGGUUG
rnacentral:rRNA from 1 species